GGUUGCAAAAGAAGUAGGUAGCUUAACCUUCGGGAGGGCGCUUACCACUUUGUGAUUCAUGACUGGGGUGAAGUCGUAACAAGGUAACCGUAGGGGAACCUGCGGUUGGAUCACCUCCUUACCUUAAAGAA
rnacentral:rRNA from 3 species